GAGUUUGAUUCUGGCUCAGAACGAACGCUGGCGGCGCGUCUUAAGCAUGCAAGUCGAACGGUAAGGGAGAGCUUGCUCUCCCCUAGAGUGGCGGACUGGUGAGUAACGCGUGGGUGACCUGCCCUGAAGAUGGGGAUAGCUAGUAGAAAUAUUAGAUAAUACCGAAUGUGCUCAUUUACAUAAAGGUAAAUGAGGAAAGGAGCUACGGCUCCGCUUCAGGAUGGGCCCGCGUCCCAUUAGCUGGUUGGUGAGGUAAAGGCCCACCAAGGCAACGAUGGGUAUCCGGCCUGAGAGGGUGAACGGACACAUUGGGACUGAGAUACGGCCCAAACUCCUACGGGAGGCAGCAGCUAAGAAUCUUCCGCAAUGGACGAAAGUCUGACGGAGCGACGCCGUGUGAAUGAAGAAGGCCGAAAGGUUGUAAAAUUCUUUUGCAGAUGAAGAAUAAACACAGGAGGGAAUGCCCCUGUGAGAUGA
rnacentral:rRNA from 1 species